rnacentral:misc_RNA from 1 species
CCGAGAUAGGGUUUCUUCGGAGCCCGACCUCCAACCCAAUUGUCUACCAUACCUCUGUUGCCUCGGCGGGCCGCCGGUCCAACCGCCGUCGGCCCUUUAUUGGGCUUUCGAGCGCCCGCCGAUGGGAUACUUAAAACUCUUUUUUUGAAAUCAGUUUCUGAGUGAGAAAUCAAUAGCAUUA